GAACCAGCUUCACCCAGAGAGGACCAGCCCAAGCUGGUGAAGCCUGCAUACCCCUCAUCUGACCCUGCUCAGAAGGGAUCUGAACGUCAGGUCAAUGACCUUUCCGAUGCCCUGGAACAAAAAUUCUUCAGGCAACAGAACCAAAAUGUCAGCUCCUGGAAGCAGAUAAAGAAACUGCAGCUCAAAGCACUUCAACCGUUUGUGUGAAGGAACGUGGACAAAUUUGAUUGGCUUUGGGAUUCCUCGUACACUGUAUGUACACAGUAAGGCUGUGUUGUUGAUGACGAUGAGGGCUGCUAAUAAUGUUGACUCAUGAGAUUCCAAGAUGGAAAGCUGUUCUCACCUCAAGUUCCAGGAAAGUGAACUGACCCUAAAGGCAGAAUCUGUAACCAUUUAGAUACUGCACUACCUACAAUGAAAGGGGGAAAAAAACAUAAGAGGCUUAUGGUAAUUAGAAGUCAGAUUUCAGCUAUUGGUUUGUUCUUCUGUUUAAAAUGCAUCUUUUGGUCUUGUAGCCACCUGCAAGAUAUGAAAACCCUUCUCUAUCAGUGUGAAUACUUGCACCUUGCAAACAUGUAAAUUCUUAAGGGACCUUAGUGGAAUUUCAUUUUCUAUAGCAUUUCACUUCUAAUUGUAAUUAGCCAGCUGGUAAAUUUCCCCAGAGAAUGCCUAAAACAUAGACUUCUUAUCUGUAAUGGCAAUAUCACUUGUCCCUUUAUUCUCUUACUGUCUGGGUACUGGGUGAGGUAGCCCAACUUAAGGAAAGAGAACAAGAAAGAAAUAGGAGAGACUGGUCAAGUUAGGGUAAAAUCUGCUUUUAAAAUGCAGAGCAUUUGUUUCUCCUACAGAUGUUUCUAUGUGGAGCCUCUAGGUUCUGGGCUCAUGCAUAGAUCAGGCUUUUGUUUCAUUUAUGUUUU